rnacentral:rRNA from 1 species
CGUGGGUAACCUGCCCAAGAGAUCGGGAUAACACCUGGAAACAGAUGCUAAUACCGGAUAACAACAGAUGAUGCCUAUCAACUGUUUAAAAGAUGGUUCUGCUAUCACUCUUGGAUGGACCUGCGGUGCAUUAGCUAGUUGGUAGGGUAACGGCCUACCAAGGCGAUGAUGCGUAGCCGAGUUGAGAGACUGAUCGGCCACAUUGGGACUGAGACACGGCCCAAACUCCUACGGGAGGCAGCAGGC